GCUCAGUUGGUAGAGCACAAGGCUCUUAACCUUGUGGGCGUGGGUUCAAGCCCCAU
rnacentral:tRNA from 1 species